AACGAACGCUGGCGGCAGGCCUAACACAUGCAAGUCGAACGCCCUGGCAACAGGGAGUGGCAGACGGGUGAGUAACGCGUGGGAACGUGCCCUUCGGUUCGGAGUAACUCAGGGAAACUUGAGCUAAUACUGGAUACGUGCGAGAGCAGAAAGAUUUAUCGCCGAAGGAUCGGCCCGCGUCCGAUUAGCUAGUUGGUGGGGUAACGGCUCACCAAGGCGACGAUCGGUAGCUGGUCUGAGAGGAUGAUCAGCCACACUGGGACUGAGACACGGCCCAGACUCCUACGGGAGGCGGCAGUGGGGAAUAUUGGACAAUGGGCGCAAGCCUGAUCCAGCCAUGCCGCGUGAGUGAUGAAGGCCCUAGGGUUGUAAAGCUCUUUCGCCAGGGACGAUAAUGACGGUACCCGGAUAAGAAGCCCCGGCUAACUUCGUGCCAGCCGCCGCGGUAA
rnacentral:rRNA from 1 species